rnacentral:rRNA from 1 species
AUUGGGCGCUGGCGGCAUGCUUUACACAUGCAAGUCGAACGGUAACAGGGUGCUUGCACCGCUGACGAGUGGCGAACGGGUGAGUAAUGCGUCGGAACGUGCCGAGUAGUGGGGGAUAACGCAGCGAAAGUUGUGCUAAUACCGCAUACGUACUGAGGUAGAAAGUGGGGGACCUUCGGGCCUCACGCUAUUCGAGCGGCCGACGUCUGAUUAGCUAGUAGGUGAGGUAAAGGCUCACCUAGGCGACGAUCAGUAGCGGGUCUGAGAGGAUGAUCCGCCACACUGGGACUGAGACACGGCCCAGACUCCUACGGGAGGCAGCAGUGGGGAAUUUUGGACAAUGGGCGAAAGCCUGAUCCAGCCAUGCCGCGUGUCUGAAGAAGGCCUUCGGGUUGUAAAGGACUUUUGUCAGGGAGGAAAUCCCUAGUGCUAAUAACACUGGGGGAUGACAGUACCUGAAGAAUAAGCACCGGCUAACUACGUGCCAGCCGCCGCAGUAA